ACUCCUACGGGAGGCAGCAGUAGGGAAUCUUCGGCAAUGGGGGGAACCCUGACCGAGCAACGCCGCGUGAGUGAAGAAGGUUUUCGGAUCGUAAAGCUCUGUUGUAAGAGAAGAACGUGUGUGAGAGUGGAAAGUUCACACAGUGACGGUAACUUACCAGAAAGGGACGGCUAACUACGUGCCAGCAGCCGCGGUAAUACGUAGGUCCCGAGCGUUGUCCGGAUUUAUUGGGCGUAAAGCGAGCGCAGGCGGUUUGAUAAGUCUGAAGUAAAAGGCUGUGGCUUAACCAUAGUAUGCUUUGGAAACUGUCAAACUUGAGUGCAGAAGGGGAGAGUGGAAUUCCAUGUGUAGCGGUGAAAUGCGUAGAUAUAUGGAGGAACACCGGUGGCGAAAGCGGCUCUCUGGUCUGUAACUGACGCUGAGGCUCGAAAGCGUGGGGAGCAAACAGGAUUAGAUACCCUGGUAGUC
rnacentral:rRNA from 1 species